rnacentral:rRNA from 1 species
UGACGAGUUUGAUCCUGGCUCAGAUUGAACGCUGGCGGUAUGCCUUACACAUGCAAGUCGAACGGUAGAGGAGCAAUCCUCGAGAGUGGCGAACGGGUGAGUAAUACAUCGGAACGUGCCCAGUCGUGGGGGAUAACGUAGCGAAAGCUACGCUAAUACCGCAUACGACCCGGGGGUGAAAGCGGGGGACUCGCAAGAGCCUCGCGCGAUUGGAGCGGCCGAUGGCAGAUUAGGUAGUUGGUGGGGUAAACGGCCCACCAAGCCUGCGAUCUGUAGCUGGUCUGAGA